rnacentral:rRNA from 1 species
UGAGCGGAGAUUAUGGAGCUUGCUUUAAUAACUUAGCAGCGAACGGGUGAGUAACACGUAGAUAAUCUAUCCUAUACUGGGGGAUAGCCCGAUGAAAGUUGGAUUAAUACCGCAUAUAGCUAUAUAGUUGCAUGAUUAUGUAGUGAAAGAUUUAUUGGUAUAGGAGGAGUCUGCGGCACAUUAGCUAGUAGGUGAGGUAAAGGCUUACCUAGGCGACGAUGUGUAGCCGGUCUGAGAGGAUGAACGGCCACAAUGGAACUGAGACACGGUCCAUACUCCUACGGGAGGCAGCAGUGGGGAAUAUUGCACAAUGGGGGAAACCCUGAUGCAGCAACGCCGCGUGAGUGAAGAAGGUUUUCGGAUUGUAAAGCUCUGUUAGCAGGGAAGAGGAAGGACGGUACCUGCAGAGGAAGCCACGGCUAACUACGUGCCAGCAGCCGCGGUAAUACGUAGGUGGCAAGCGUUGUUCGGAAUAACUGGGCGUAAAGGAUGCGUAGGCGGUUAAACAAGUUAUAUGUUAAAUAUAUAGGCUUAACCUGUAGAAAGCAUAUAAAACUGUUUAACUAGAGUGCAGGAGAGGUAAGUGGAAUUCCUAGUGUAGCGGUGAAAUGCGUAGAGAUUAGGAAGAACACCAGUGGCGAAGGCGACUUACUGGACUGUAACUGACGCUGAGGCAUGAGAGCAUGGGGAGCAAACAGGAUUAGAUACCCUGGUAGUCCAUGCUGUAAACGAUGGGUACUAGGUGUGGGUUGUGAAUAACAAUUCGUGCCGUCGCAAACGCAAUAAGUACCCCGCCUG